CCUCCGCCGGCCCUCUUCCGCCGUCAGGGUCCACCGCCCGCAGGUGCGAGGGCCCGGGGCUGCCGUGCCUCCGCGGCGCAGGAGCGCUUUCCUUGUGGAAUGAGUGUUCCCGAACAUCCGGACAGCGAGAAAAGAGCGGGCGGACAGGGGGGAAAGGUGAGGAGAAAGCUAGGACGUGGAGACGCUAAACCACGGUUUCCUCGCCCCCGUCUCUGGCCGGGGCGCUGAGGUCAUAUUUUGUCACUGAUGUGUGUAUCAUUUCUUCUGUAACUGUCAGAUUUCAUCAUGACAAGAUGCAUCAGAUAAGAUGGAGUCACAGAGAGGGGACGUGACAACAUCAAGCCACCCAGCAAGUGGUGUUCAGGGCGGAAGGAAGCCAGGCAUCCAGCCAGGAGCCCGUGAACUCUCCUUCCUAAGAAAUCCUGGUCCAGCUCUGCUAGCAUCCUCAUUCCCACCGGCCAUUCACCCCCUCUGACCCUCUUCCUUGGCCACUUGGCCUCCAUUCUCAGUGCUCUGCUGAAAUGUUUCUCCCCAGAAUAGCCAAAGCCCUUCCCUGUGGUCACACCAGGUCUGGUGAUGGGAAGAUGGCUUCAGAAGGAGGAGGCGAUGGGGAAGCGGUGUGGGCUAAGGCUCUGAGACUCCCCUAGUCCAGGACUGGUUUGGGAGCUGAAUGGGCAAAGACACAACUAACUCAGCAAGCCUGGAGCCAUGGGUCACAGACUUUGCCUGCGGUGCCCUCCCACAUCACUGAAAAUACAAUCCAUAUCCUCAGGAGACUCACGCUUCACUUGUGCAACCAUCAUUACCAUCUGCCACCAGAGCAUUUUCAUCUUCCCAAACUGAAACUCUGUUCAGUAAGUCCCCUACAUAAGAACAAGUUCUGCUCCAAGAGUGUGUUUAUAAGUCCCAGUGGUUCGUAAGUCCACCAAAGUUAGCCAAGGUACCCAACUCACACAGUUGACUAUGUAGUAGUGUACCGUAAUAGGUUUAUAAUACUUUUCACACAAAUAAUACAUAGGAGGCAAACACACACAAAAUAAAACAUUUGAAAUCCUAUAGUACAGUACCUUGAAAAGUACAAGAACUGGCAUACAGGGGCUGGAAUUGAAUAGGCAAGAAGAGUCACUGAUUGGAGGAGGGAGAGAAAGUGGGAGAUGGUAGAGCUGAAGGAACGUCAGCAAUAGGAGGCGAAAGGCAAGCUGCAGCGUCACUCAUGCCUGACGUUGAUGUCACAGGUUCUGGUUCCUUGCCGGAUUCAAUUCUAUCUACCCUCUUGAAAAAACAAUCCAGUGAUGUCUGGAUAGUAUUAAUAGCUCUUUUCUUUCUCUUCAUGUCAGUACCUGCUACACCACCACUGCUUUUAUGCUUGCUUCCAGGCAUCCUGGGCUUGAAAUUAAAAUACUACCCUACGGUACUCUAUAUAGUACUCUACAGGAAAGAACACAAAAGUGUAACCCCUUGUAGGGAAUGCCCGCACGUGACAGUGUACGCCAGACACCGGAACUUGCUCACGUGAUUGGACCCGUGAAGGCACGAUCGUGUCUUUGAAGCUUGCAACUUGAAGGUUCACAUGUAAGGUACUUAUUGUACUCACUAAACAGCUUCCUGGUCUCCCUCCCCCCAGCCCCUGAGCAACCAUUAUUCUACUUUCUGUCUCUGUGACUUUAUUAUUUUAGGUACCUCAUAUAAAGGGGA